UACGGAAGGGGGCUAGCGUUGCUCGGAAUCACUAGGGCGUAAAGCGCACGUAGGCGGCUUUUUAAGUCAGGGGUGAAAAUCCGUGGCAGCUCCAAUCUCCAGAACUGCCUUUGAUACAUGAGAGGCUCGAGUCCGGGAGAGGUGAAGGUGGAACUGCGAGUGUAGAAGGUGAAAUUCGUAGAUAUUCGCAAGGAACGACCAG
rnacentral:rRNA from 1 species